CAGCAGCCGCGGGAAUACGAAGGGUGCAAGCGUUACUCGGAAUUACUGGGCGUAAAGCGUGCGUAGGUGGUGGUUUAAGUCCGUUGUGAAAGCCCUGGGCUCAACCUGGGAAUUGCAGUGGAUACUGGGUCACUAGAGUGUGGUAGAGGAUAGUGGAAUUUCCGGUGUAGCAGUGAAAUGCGUAGAGAUCGGAAGGAACAUCUGUGGCGAAGGCGACUAUCUGGGCCAACACUGACACUGAGGCACGAAAGCGUGGGGAGCAAACAGGAUUAGAUACCCGGGUAGUCCCUGUCUCUUAUAU
rnacentral:rRNA from 1 species